AACGAACGCUGGCGGCAUGCCUAACACAUGCAAGUCGAACGAACCCUUCGGGGUUAGUGGCGCACGGGUGCGUAACGCGUGGGAAUCUGCCCUUUGCUUCGGAAUAACAGUUAGAAAUGACUGCUAAUACCGGAUGAUGUCUUCGGACCACAGAUUUAUCGGCAAAGGAUGAGCCCGCGUAGGAUUAGGUAGUUGGUGGGGUAAAGGCCUACCAAGCCGACGAUCCUUAUCUGGUCUGAGAGGAUGAUCAGCCACACUGGGACUGAGACACGGCCCAGACUCCUACGGGAGGCAGCAGUGGGGAAUAUUGGACAAUGGACGCAAGUCUGAUCCAGCAAUGCCGCGUGAGUGAUGAAGGCCUUAGGGUUGUAAAGCUCUUUUACCAGGGACGAUAAUGACAGUACCUGGAGAAUAAGCUCCGGCUAACUCCGUGCCAGCAGCCGCUGUAAUAC
rnacentral:rRNA from 1 species